rnacentral:lncRNA from 1 species
CUUGUCCUUUUAUUUGUAUUUACCUUUAUUUUUUCACAUAACUUAUGAAAUAAGGCAAUGAAAUAUAAGGAGAUACAUAGUAGUCUCUGACUCCAUGCCAACUGGUGUAUUCAGUGCUUGUUCUUGCGUGGUAAACAGCUUAUCAUCAUCUGUGUGAGAUAAACAUCCUAAGGCCAAUGCAAGAAAUAAAUACUGGCACAACUGGGUCAAAAUAGGCAUCAUUUUUCAGAAGUUUGCUCUCACAGCUUUUCUAGACCACUAAGGGUCCCAGAUAUUGGGCAUAUUUCUUCUCUGCUGCUCCUAUCAACAAUUACGUUUGUUUUGGUGAAUAAAGGAUAUGAAACUUUGCUACCUUUGUGUCACGCUUUGUAGCAGAAUAAUAGAUGAAUGAUCACGUAGGUAUUGGUAAUUUCAUGGUUGGGAGUGAGUGCAAGGUUCCAAUCAUGGCCAGGAGAACUGGAUUGGGGUCAGGUAUCUCCCCACAUAUUGUCUUACAACCUCCCUCUGAUUCAGAUUAUUUCAGGGAAAAUCAGAGCACAAAAGGCCUGUAGGAAAAUUCAAAAGUUAUGAGUUAAAAGUGUAGUUUCCUCUCAAAGGAUGGAUGAAGAAAAUAAGUUUCUGUCUUUCACAUCUCUAAUGUACUUUAGCUUCACUUAGGAAUUUUUGCAAUUCUUGUCAUUUUUAUUCUAUGUAUUUGGAAUGAAGGAAUAUAUGGAGAAAAGAAGGAUGUGGUGGGUGUAUUGGAGGGUUUUUUGUGUAAACUUUAGGGAGAUCAAACCACAUGAAAUGCUAUAUAUAUAAAAAACUUCCAUUUUUAGAAGUUUGAGAAGAUAAAGAUACUUCUUAAGAAAAGGAAACAUGUCCAAGCUUAUUCUCUCCUGCUCCUGUCAAUCAUCUAGGUAAACAUGGAGAAGAUUAGUGGGUCUCCACUUAAGGAGGGAUGCAGUUUGGAGAGCAGUGGGAUGAGCAUUCUCUAGGACUUAUGAAUCAAAUUGUUCAGGCAUCAUGUUCUAUUGAGGGGAAUGAUAAAACCUGCAGGGGACAAUGGUGGGGCACAGGGCAGCGCUUCCGCAAUCAGCCAUGCUGUGUGCAAUGCCCUACUCAGAAAGGUGCCAUUUAUGUAGAUUUUAUGUCACUGGCUCCUUUCUGGGUAGAGCAAGGCUCACCAUGUAUAUAUUUGUGGUGGCCUUUGUACCCGUGUUGGAGUAGAGCUGCAAAAGCCUCAAGCUGCCUUCCCUGAUAACAGGAGAACCUAGCUGGCCAUGUGGACCUCAGGCAUCCUCAAGAUGAUUUCAGUGGUGCAUUCCUACCAAUGUGAACACCUACAGGUUAAAGAAGAGAAAGAUGAGAUGAAGAUCGUUCCUAAUAGAGUAAUAGAAAACGGUAACAAGCUUGUUCUCACCUGGUCCUGGCAAUCACUGGGUAAACAUAGAGCAAGUGAGAGGGUUCUCACUGAGUCAGGCAUGACAGUUGGUGGGCAGUGGGCUGGACAUUCUCUAGGACUUAAUAAUAAGUAAGUUCCAGAUUCAGGCAUCCUGCUGUGUUGAAGGGAGUGAUAAAAGAUGCAGGGGACAAUGGUGGGGGAUGGGGCGGCACCUUCACAAUCAGCCAUGCUGUGGGCAGUGCCUUACUCAGAAAGGUGCCAGUCACUUACACUACAUGUCACUGUGUCCUUUCUGCGUAGAGUAAGGCUCACUAAGUACAAGUUUGUGGUGGCCUUCGGACAGGUAAUAGGGUGGAGCUGCAGGAGUUGUCUUUAAUAAUGCCGGGAGAUCCUAGCUGGCCACCUGAACCUCAGGCAUCCUUAAGACGUGAACACCUGUAGAGAAGAGAGGGAUAGAAGACGUGAAGUUACUUCCUAAUAGAAG